rnacentral:misc_RNA from 1 species
UUUCCGUAGGUGAACCUGCGGAGGGAUCAUUACAGAGUUCAUGCCCUACCGGGUCGAUCUCCCACCCUAUGUUAUUAUUACUUUGUUGCUUUGGCGGGCCGUUAGGCUCCGGCCCGACUACCGGCCCCGGCUGGUAAGCGCCCGCCAGAGGACCCAAAACCCUGAAUAUUAGUGUCGUCUGAGUACUAUAGAAUAGUUAAAACUUUCAACAACGGAUCUCUUGGUUCUG